rnacentral:rRNA from 1 species
UACAGAGGGUGCGAGCGUUAAUCGGAAUUACUGGGCGUAAAGCGUGCGUAGACGGUUAUUUAAGUCGGGUGUGAAAGCCCCGGGCUCAACCUGGGAAUUGCAUUCGAGACUGAAUAGCUAGGGUACGGUAGAGGGAAGUGGAAUUUCCGGUGUAGCGGUGAAAUGCGUAGAUAUCUGGAGGAACACCGGUGGCGAAGGCGGCAUCCUGGACCAAUAUUGACGCUGAGGAGCGAAAGCCAGGGGAGCAAACGGG